AUCACUACUCAGCCUUUUGGCUAAGGUCAAGCGUAGUAUCUGUUCUUAUCAGUUUAGUAUCUGAUAUGUCCUCUAUCCAAGGACAAUAUAUUAAAUGAUUUUUUGGAGCAAGAAGAAGGAAUAGGAGCUUUCUCCGCCCACUCCACACAUAUUGUAGUACCUCUAGGAACGGUGUACCAAAA